GGUUGAUCCUGCCAGUUGUCAUAUGCUUGUUUCAAGGACUAAGCCAUGCAAAUGUCAGAGUACUUGCGUCUUCGGACGCUGAGGGGUCUGUGUACGGCUCAUUAAACGGUUUAUUGUCUACCCAACGAAGAGGGUGUUUUUACCUUCCAAUGGGAUACCUUUGCUAACUGCAAAGCUAAUACCUGUAAGAAAAACCUUGUCACCAUCAACACCACAGCGGGGUCAACCUGUUGGGGUGGGUGUACGGGGUGUGAUUCGCCGAAACAAAAACCAGCGCCCGUCAAAAGGCAG
rnacentral:rRNA from 1 species